rnacentral:tRNA from 1 species
CCGUCUUUAGCUCAGUUGGAUAGAGUAUCAGAUUCCGAUUCUGAGGGCCGUGGGUUCGAGUCCCGCAAGACGGGCCA